rnacentral:lncRNA from 1 species
GGAAGGAGCACACUGUGGGCUCCGCCAUGGUCGCUGGCGCGGGCCCUGUGCGCGCGGCGCAGCGAGCCGGGGCGGGCAGGCUCCUCCCAGUCACGUCCACGAUUUCCAGCGAACAUCCCGGGGAUGGGCCUGGGCCUGGCGAGGGGUGGGCCUGCGGGAGGCCGGGCGAGGGGCGGCCCCGGCGCGUGGAAGCAGGGUACGGCGCCUGCGGAUCCCCUGGACGCGGACUCAGGCGGGGACAGCGUUGAUGGGGCGUCUGCUCCGCCCAGGCACCGUUCAGGGCGAGGCCUGGCCUUGAGGGGCUUGUAUAGUGGGAGUCACAAAGGACUCGCCAACAAGGCAACUGGUAGUGCUAGGGAGGCCUGCGGAGAAGGCGAAAUAGGUAAAAGGUGGUAGGAGGUGAGUGGCCGGGCUGCUUCGGGGGAGGUGGCCACUAGCCACAUGUGGCUGCUGAGCACUUCUGGGAUUUUUUGUUGUUGUUGUAUUUUUAUUUUUGGAGACAAGGCCUCACUUGGUGGCGGGCGCCUGUAGUCCCAGCUACUCGGGAGGCUGAGGCAGGAGAAUGGAGUGAACCCAGGAGGCGGAGCUUGCAGUGAGCCAAGAUCGUGCCACUGUACUCCAGCCUGGAGAACAGAGCGAAACUCCGUCUCAAAAACAAAACAAAGAGAAAAGAAAGAGCUAGUAAGAAUGGAAAGUUGAAAAUAAAGGAGGCCAGGUGCGGUGACUCAUGCAUGCAGUCCCAGCAUUUUGGGAGGCUGAGGCAGGAGAAUCACUUGAGUCCAGGAGUUUUUCUGACGCUGUAUUCAUCGGUUCUAACUAAUCACGCAGGCUUUGUCUUCAGUAUAUUCAAUCACAUAUUGUGGGUAUUAGAGAUGGGGGUUUCACCAUGUUGGUCAGGCUGGUCUCGAACUCCUGACCUCAGGUGAUUCACGCACCUCGGCCUCCCAAAGUGCUGGGAUUACAGGAAUGAGCCACAGU